GGAUCAUUUAGUGACAAUUACAAUCGAUGGGAUUUUCUCAAUUUGGAUUAUUAAAAGCGCAUUUCUGAUAGAAGAGACUAGCGUGAAGUUCUUCGUUAAAAGUACAAAUGCUUUCAUCGCAACUACUUCUUUGCUGCCAAAAAUAUUCAAGCAAUCGACUGAAAAUCAAAAUGAUUUUUAUAAAAUACUAAUCGGAAGCCAAGACGGCGUCAUUUCACUUUUCAAGCUCCAAAUUCGUCCUGACAAAGUUUUUACAGAAGAGGAAACGGACGAGGAUGCGCC